AGCAGCCGCGGUAAUUCCAGCUCCAAUAGCGUAUAUUAAAGUUGUUGCAGUUAAAAAGCUCGUAGUUGAAUUUCGGGGUCAGUAGGUUGGUCAUGCCACUGGUAUGUACUGGCCUCACUGAUUCCUCCUUCCUGAUGAACCUUAAUGCCAUUAAUUUGGUGUUUUGGGGAAUUUGGACUGUUACUUUGAAAAAUUAGAGUGUUUAAAGCAAGCUAACGCUUGAAUACAUUAGCAUGGAAUAAUGAAAUAGGACGUUCGAUCCUAUUUUGUUGGUUCUAGGAUUGACGUAAUGAUUAAUAGGGAUAGUUGGGGCAUUAGUAUUCAAUUGUCAGAGGUGAAAUUCUUGGAUUUAUUGAAGACUAACUACUGCGAAAGCAUUGCCAAGGAUGUUUCAUUAAUCAAGAACG
rnacentral:rRNA from 1 species